GGGUAGGUUCCCGAGUGGCCAAAGGGAGCAGACUGUAAAUCUGCCGUCUACGACUUCGAUGGUUCGAAUCCAUCCCUGCCCACCA
rnacentral:tRNA from 5 species